CACGGGGGGAGCAAGCGUUGUUCGGAAUCACUGGGCUUAAAGGGCGCGUAGGCGGCAAUUCAAGUCAUCUGUGAAAUCUCCGGGCUUAACUCGGAACGGUCUGAUGAUACUGCUUUGCUAGAGUGCGGAAGGGGCAAUCGGAAUUCUUGGUGUAGCGGUGAAAUGCGUAGAUAUCAAGAGGAACACCUGAGGUGAAGACGGGUUGCUGGGCCGACACUGACGCUGACAGCGCGAAAGCCAGGGGAGCAAACGGG
rnacentral:rRNA from 1 species